rnacentral:rRNA from 1 species
GACGAACGCUGGCGGCGUGCUUAACACAUGCAAGUCGAACGGAAAGGCCCCUUUGGGGGUACUCGAGUGGCGAACGGGUGAGUAACACGUGAGUAACCUGCCCUUGACUUCGGGAUAACUUCAGGAAACUGGGGCUAAUACCGGAUAGGAAUCCUUGCUGCAUGGUGGGGGUUGGAAAGCUUCGGCGGUUUUGGAUGGACUCGCGGCUUAUCAGCUUGUUGGUGGGGUAGUGGCUUACCAAGGCUUUGACGGGUAGCCGGCCUGAGAGGGCGACCGGCCACAUUGGGACUGAGAUACGGCCCAGACUCCUACGGGAGGCAGCAGUGGGGAAUAUUGCACAAUGGGCGGAAGCCUGAUGCAGCAACGCCGCGUGCGGGAUGACGGCCUUCGGGUUGUAAACCGCUUUCAGCAGGGGCGAAGCUUGUGGUGACGGUACCUGUAGAAGAAGCACCGGCUAACUACGUG